AAGAAGAUUCCCGUGGAAUUUAUUAUUAUUUUUUUUUACCUUUUAUGAAAAUAAUGGACUCUGUUCAUGAAUUGCAAAUGAAAAGUGAUAAAUAUUAUAUUUAACAUUUGUAAUUUGCUUGUACUUGCCUCUCCAUGUGUCAGUCUAGAGGUACUAGUAGUUUCUUCCGCUUGAAAAGCCCGCGGCUGACGGCAUAGAUUUUAAUUUCUAUGGGAUCACAACAGUAGGUUGUGCUCAGCUGUUUAUGUAUUUUCCUCUAUUUUUGUAGAAACUCUUUUGUUUGUAUGCAAGUGCUUCGGUUAGUGUUCUGUUGUAUUUUUGCAGUAUAUUGUAAUUAAUUCAUACCAUUCACUUUGAAGAGAAAAAUGAGAAAUCUCUAUCAAAUGUACUAUGGCCGACGUCCCAAAUCCGCCGACUCUUUACAGGUAACGACCACAUAGACCACUGACGUAAUACACAAAAACACACUAGUUGCCUUGUUCAAAUUCACGCACGGAAAAAGUGUUGUCCACAUUAUACAUAUUAUAUAUCUAUGUCUGAAAUAAUUUAUUAUUACACUGUACAUGUUGUACCAAACCACCGGCCUGUAAAAGUCAGAAAACAAACGUACUCCCCUGGGAUGUAAGUAAUUGAAUUAUUGUUCUUGCUUUCAAAAAAAAAGUUCUCUCCUGAUCGAAAUAUGGCACAAAAUUCCAAGGAAUUUGUCAAUAGUGAUAACCUGCUCCCGGGAGUUUUCGAUACAGUUAUCGACAUUUCUUAUCGGUGAACAGAAAUGGAAAGAAAAUUGAACAAAAACACGCCGUUGAAUGGCUAUAGGUUGUGUUAUCAAUGUCCACGGAACAAUUUUAUUUCUUUGUUAAUUGCAAAAGGAAGACAGACGUUUCGGCAAUGCUUCGAAAAAUUCCCAAUGAUUGUGUUAUUCUGAACUAAUGAUUUGUUUACACAUCCUUGCCAAUAAAUAUCUGCAGAGAAAUUAGAAGCAAUCAAAAUACAGUCAUACAUACUCAGUAUUACUAGUAAAUGACUCAUGUACCACUGAUUAAUCACGAAUUUAUUACCACGACCAAGUGUGUGUGUGGAAGCUCAACAUUUUUGUUUUGUUGUUUAAAACGCCUGUCUCUGUUUGUUGUUUUAUUUUGUAUGUUACUAACUAUAGCAAUGUCACUACUCAUUCUUAAAAUUUAAAGGCUUUUCAAAACUUGAUUGUUAUAUUAAAAUAAAAUGCAUAUAUUUAUAUAUU
rnacentral:misc_RNA from 1 species